rnacentral:rRNA from 1 species
CAAUAGCGUAUAUUUAAGUUGCUGCAGUUAAAAAGCUCGUAGUUGGAUUUCGGGUGGGAAUGGCCGGUCCGCCGUUUCGGUGUGCACUUGCUACGCCCACCUUGCUGCCGGGGACGUGCUCUUGAGUUCACGCUCGGGACACGGAGUCGGCGAGGUUACUUUGAGUAAAUUAGAGUGUUCAAAGCAGGCCUACGCUCUGAAUACAUUAGCAUGGAAUAACACGAUAGGACUCUGGCCUAUCUUGUUGGUCUGUAGGACCGGAGUAAUGAUUAAGAGGGACAGUCGGGGGCACUCGUAUUUCAUUGUCAGAGGUGAGAUUCUUGGAUUUAUGAAAGACGAACUACUGCGAAAGCAUUUGCCAAGGAUGUUUUCAUUAA